AGAGUUUGAUCAUGGCUCAGAGCGAACGCUGGCGGCAUGCUUAACACAUGCAAGUCGCACGAGGGGUUUCGGCCUCUAGUGGCGGACGGGUGAGUAACGCGUAGGUAUCUAUCCUGGGGUGGGGGAUAACAGUGGGAAACUGCUGCUAAUACCGCAUGACACCUGAGGGUCAAAGGCGCGAGUCGCCUUAGGAGGAGCCUGCGUCCGAUUAGCUAGUUGGUGGGGUAAAGGCCUACCAAGGCGACGAUCGGUAGCUGGUCUGAGAGGAUGAUCAGCCACAUUGGGACUGAGACACGGCCCAAACUCCUACGGGAGGCAGCAGUGGGGAAUAUUGGACAAUGGGCGAAAGCCUGAUCCAGCAAUGCCGCGUGGAUGAAGAAGGUCUUCGGAUUGUAAAGUCCUUUCGACGGGGACGAUGAUGACGGUACCCGUAGAAGAAGCCCCGGCUACUUCGUGCCAGCAGCCGCGGUAAUACGAAGGGGGCUACGUUGCUCGGAAUGACUGGGCGUAAAGGGCGCGUAGGCGGUUUGGUUAGUUAGGCGUGAAAUUCCUGGGCUCAACCUGGGGGCUGCGCUUAAUACAGCCAGACUAGAGUGUGAAAGAGGGUCGUGGAAUUCCCAGUGUAGAGGUGAAAUUCGUAGAUAUUGGGAAGAACACCGGUGGCGAAGGCGGCGACCUGGUUCAUUACUGAGCUGAGGCGCGAAAGCGUGGGGAGCAAACAGGAUUAGAUACCCUAGUAGUCC
rnacentral:rRNA from 1 species